rnacentral:rRNA from 1 species
UACGGGGGGUGCGAGCGUUGUCCGGAAUCACUGGGCGUAAAGGGCGCGUAGGUGGUUUGAUAAGGGUGUGGUGAAAGUCCGGGGCUCAACCCCGGAUCUGCCGUGCCGACUGUCAAACUCGAGGACUGUAGAGGCAGACGGAAUUCCGGGUGUAGCGGUGGAAUGCGUAGAGAGUCCGGAGGAAGACCGGUGGCCGAAGGCGGUCUGAGCUGGGCAGUUCUGACACUGAUGCGCGACGAGCGUGG